CCUUUCUCUCGCUCGCUCGCUCGCUCUCCCUCUCUCUCCCUGUCUCUCGCACUCUCGCUCGCUCCCGCUCGCUCUCUCGCUCCCUCUCCCUUUCCCGUCUCUGUGGUUUGUAAGGUAGGUUGCAGUGUGUGUGUAUAUACACAACAUCAAGAGCAGGAAAAUGGACUCAUUAGGGAGGCAGGCAGUCAUUACCACUCACACUGUACUUCCAGGGAGACAGCGACUAUGAGGAGACAAACUGAGGACUGGGGAACAAGCAGCAUAAGAAAGAAGUGUUGAGAGCUGCUCUUAACCCUUUUGGAGUCCAAGUCGAAAGGGAACUAGAGGACUUGACACAUCCUUUACAUCCUGCAUUUACUCUGACCACAGUCUCUGCCUGCUCUCACAAGCGGAGCUCAGUCCUGCUUCCCUUCCUGUUGAUUCCCAGUCAGCUCCAUGACUGCCUGAAGUUACAUAGUAGAUGCUGAAAUCACUGCACCUUAAAAACAAAAAGAUUAAGCUGCACUGCAUUCCUGAUACCAGAAUUUCUGGACUGUGCUGCGUCUGUGGAGAAAGACAAGACUGAGAUCGUCUGCAGUGGGUUGCAUAGAGGGAUAACGACUUAUUCACAACUGGUUGCAACUGGUUACAGCCAAGAAAGCAAAAAUCCCAGAGUGGCUAGAGGAAAAAAGGCUGUUAAAACCCUGCCACAGUUGCAGUUUUAUAGUAAGGCAUUUACAAAUGACUAUGAAAUGGGCAAAGCUACCCUUGUACAAUAACAGUAAAAGAGUAGAUAUGUGCUCUGGUGAUUCUUAUCAUGGUAUCCCAAGCUUUGCCUUAAAGCCCAUAUGCAAAAGUCAGCCCUUGGAGCUGGCUUUGUAAUCCAAAAUUUUGUACUGACUUGUAAAUAGCAUUAGCUUAUGCUUUGUUAGAAGCUCCCAUGGUGUGUGUGUCCUACUGUUCUGGCACUUGGGGAAGAGUCCUCUGGAUAGUCAAAAUAGUCUGACCUGAUGCCAAGUCCUCUUGUUAGCCAGAGAGCAAUGGUAGUUUUUCAGAUAGGUUAUAUGAGGAAAAUGCUUGCCCGUCGCCCCCAAACUUUGUCUCUUCAUAUUCUAUAGUCAUCUGUGGAAGGGAUCUCGCCCAAGAAGGAUAAGGUCCAAUUUGUUGUGAAAGUACAUUCACUACUAAUUAAAACUACCAGCUGGGAUUGCAGCCCUGGAAACUGUAAAUAAACUGGAGCAUGAGAUGU